rnacentral:lncRNA from 1 species
GAGAGAAGGAGGCUGGAAUGGCGGGGAGGAGGAAGGGUGCAGGAGGGAGAGAACAAUGCAAGUGAGCCUUGGAAAGGAGCUCGCGAAUCCUCUGAGGAACUGCGGUCUCAGGUUUUACUGCAGAUGAAUGGAAUACCUGUGGCGGGAAGAAAGGCGGAUAACACAAAGAGGCAGAUGAAGAUUCAUAUUAAUAUAAAAAAGGAAAUGUCGACCUCAGAGAGAAAACAGAGCAGAAACUACGGCAAACGAAGAAACAGUGAAAUGGUGUUUCCGCUGGCCGUACCUCAGGGGAGGAAGCGCUUUCAUUUAUCCUUGUGACCCUGGAUCAUAACAUGUCCCCACAGCCCGGUGCAAUUACAGCACCAGCAGCAGGUCCGGACAAAGCGGUUUCCCGAAGGCAGGAUAGCCGAGGCCCAGGUGCUUCCAGCCCCGGCCGCAGACUUUGGCUCUAGCGUCUUCACACUUAAUUGUCAGAGAGGGGCCUCGAACCAUCAUCGAGUCUCACACACACACACGCACACACGCACACACACGCCUUUCCAAAUGCAGACGUUCACUGCUAUUGUUGUUUCUCUCCCUAUUUGUUUGUGCACCGGAAGCCCUUUAAACUACAUUUAACAACAUUCUGUAGGAAGCGCUGAGCCAAAAAUUCUGUAUUUUCGACUAUGUAUGGGUGGAAACUUGCUGAAACGGUUCAGGCUCUAUGCCUUGUCGCAGGAAUCUCAGAACGUUUGUUCAGAAAGCCCG